rnacentral:rRNA from 1 species
AACGAACGCUGGCGGCAGGCCUAACACAUGCAAGUCGAGCGCGCCAUUCGGGGUGAGCGGCGGACGGGUGAGUAACGCGUGGGAACGUGCACUUUUCUACGGAAUAGCCUCGGGAAACUGAGAGUAAUACAGUAUACGCCCUAUGGGGGAAAGAUUAAUCGGAAAAGGAUCGGCCCGCGUUGGAUUAGGUAGUUGGUGGGGUAAUGGCCUACCAAGCCGGGGAUCACUAGCUGGUAUGAGAGCAAGAUCAGCCACACGGGGACUGAGACACGGCCCAGAAUCUUACGGAAGGGAGCAGUGGUGACUAUAGGAAAAUGGCGUCAUCCCUGACGUAGCCAUGCCCCGUAAGUGUUGAAGGCUUUAAAGUUGUAAAGUUCUUUCACCUGUGAAGGUAAUGACGGUACCAAAAGAAGAAGCCCCGGCUAACUCCGUG